CUCUUAUCGUGAGCGGCGGAGGGACUAGGCCCUUUGAAGCCCGGCAACCUUCAAGCAUUCGUGCUUGAAAAGGUGCUAAUUCCUACAGAUCAAUUAGAUCUGAAAGAUAAGGG
rnacentral:ncRNA from 2 species